rnacentral:rRNA from 1 species
UCCUACGGGAGGCAGCAGUGGGGAAUUUUCCGCAAUGGGCGAAAGCCUGACGGAGCAAUACCGCGUGAGGGACGAAGGCCUGUGGGUUGUAAACCUCUUUUCUCAGGGAAGAAGAUCUGACGGUACCUGAGGAAUCAGCAUCGGCUAACUCCGUGCCAGCAGCCGCGGUAA